rnacentral:tRNA from 1 species
UCCCUGGUGGCUCAGAAGGGUGAAGCAUCUGCCUGCAGUGCGGGAGAACCAGGUUCGAUUCCUGGGUUGGGAA